AGCAGCCGCGGUAAUUCCAGCUCCAAUAGCGUAUAUUAAAGUUGUUGCAGUUAAAAAGCUCGUAGUUGAACUUCGGGGUCUACCCAUUGGUCAGGCUUAAUUGUCUGCACUGGUGAGAUGGAUCUCUACCCUCUGAGGAACUUUCAUGCCAUUUAUUUGGUGUGGUUGGAAAUCAGGACUGUUACUUUGAAAAAAUUAGAGUGUUUAAAGCAGACUAUCGUCUGAAUACAUUAGCAUGGAAUAAUGAAAUAGGACGGACUGAUUCUAUUUCGUUGGUUUCUAGGAUCACCGUAAUGAUUAAUAGGGAUAGUUGGGGGCUAGUU
rnacentral:rRNA from 1 species